GCCCUCGUGGUCUCUGAGCAGCCCAGCUUUUGAGAAAGCAAACGCCUCUUCGAUUUCUGAAGCUCCGUCGAGUGCAUAUUUUUAUAGAGGCUGGCAUUAAGUUCCACAGCACACUUGAAUCUCUACCAGUAGAAGCUCAUUUCUUGCACUUCUAAGAUCUUGAUUUGUCUGACCUCUUCCUUCUUCAACACAUUUGAAAAUGUCUGGACCCUCCGACCGUCGUUUUGACUUGAACCUUGGAGAAGAGACAGC
rnacentral:lncRNA from 1 species